rnacentral:misc_RNA from 1 species
GUGAAUCAUCAAAUCUUUGAACGCAAAUUGCACUCUCUUCGGAGAGUAUGCCUGUUUGAGGGUCAUCCUAAAAAAAAUCUACAUAGCUGCUGUUACGCGGUACCAUUCUUCUGAAAUUGCGUCAUCUUAAACCUGUGGGUUUAAGCGGCUUAACAUUUUCUUUACGAUUCCAAGAACGUUUCUAAGAUUUUAUUUUCUUAUACGUUUAAGUUAUCGAUCUUUAUUAGUCGUGGCCGUUGCAUCGGAUCACGUCCAUAAA